GACGAACGCUGGCGGCGUGCUUAACACAUGCAAGUCGAACGGAAAGGCCCUGCUUGCAGGGUGCUCGAGUGGCGAACGGGUGAGUAACACGUGGGUGAUCUGCCCCUUACUUUGGGAUAAGCCUGGGAAACUGGGUCUAAUACUGGAUAGGACCAUGCUGUAGGUGGUGUGGUGGAAAGAUUAGUUUCGGUAAGGGAUGAGCUCGCGGCCUAUCAGCUUGUUGGUGGGGUAAUGGCCUACCAAGGCGUCGACGGGUAGCCGGCCUGAGAGGGUGGACGGCCAGAUUGGGACUGAGAUACGGGCCAGACUCCUACGGGAGGCAGCAGUGGGGAAUAUUGCACAAUGGGCGCAAGCCUGAUGCAGCGACGCCGCGUGGGGGAUGACGGCCUUCGGGUUGUAAACUCCUUUCAGCCAUGACGAAGCCCUUGUGGUGACGGUAGUGGUAGAAGAAGCACCGGCUAACUACGUG
rnacentral:rRNA from 1 species